rnacentral:misc_RNA from 1 species
GGACUACGUGGGUAUCUAAUCCUGUUCGCUACCCACGCUUUCGUUCCUCAGCGUCAGUUACUGCCCAGAGACCCGCCUUCGCCACCGGUGUUCCUCCUGAUAUCUGCGCAUUUCACCGCUACACCAGGAAUUCCAGUCUCCCCUGCAGUACUCAAGUCUGCCCGUAUCGCCUGCAAGCCAGCAGUUGAGCUGCUGGUUUUCACAAACGACGCGACAAACCGCCUACGAACUCUUUACGCCCAGUAAUUCCGGACAACGCUUGCACCCUACGUAUUACCGCGGCUGCUGGCACGUAGUUAGCCGGUGCUUCUUCUGCAGGUACCGUCACUUGCGCUUCGUCCCUGCUGAAAGAGGUUUACAACCCGAAGGCCGUCAUCCCUCACGCGGCGUCGCUGCAUCA